rnacentral:rRNA from 2 species
ACAAGCAGCGGAGCAUGUGGUUUAAUUCGAAGCAACGCGUAAGAACCUUACCAGGGCUUGACAUGCCGCUGACCGGUUUAGAGAUAGACCUUUAUCCUUCGGGGUACAGCGGACACAGGUGGUGCAUGGUUGUCGUCAGCUCGUGUCGUGAGAUGUUGGGUUAAGUCCCGCAACGAGCGCAACCCUUGUCUUUAGUUGCCAUCAUUAAGUUGGGCACUCUAAAGAGACUGCCGAUGACAAAUCGGAGGAAGUGGGGAUGACGUCAAAUCAUCAUGGCCCUUAUGUCCAGGGCGACACACGUGCUACAAUGGCCGGCACAGCGGGAAGCGAGGGGGCGACCUUGAGCGGAUCCCUCAAAGCCGGUCUCAGUUCGGAUUGCAGUCUGCAACUCGACUGCAUGAAGUUGGAAUCGCUAGUAAUCGUGGAUCAGCCAAACCGCGGUGAAUACGUUCCCGGGCCUU